rnacentral:rRNA from 1 species
GCAAGUCGAGCGGAAACAAGAAGUAGCUUUCUACUUCGGCGUCGCGCGGCGGACGGGUGUGAAAUGCCUGGGAAAUUGCCCUGAUGUGGGGGAUAACCAUUGGAAACGCUGGCUAUUACCGCAUAUUGCCUUCGGGCCAAAGAGGGGGACCUUCGGGCCGUUCGCGUUAGGAUAUGACUAGGUGGGAUUAGCUAGUUGGUGGGGUAAGGGAGCACCAAGGCGACGAUCCCGAGCUGGUCUGAGAGGAUGAUC